UCUGGUUGAUCCUGCCAGUACACUAUGCUCGUCUCUAAGACUAAGCCAUGCAUGUCUAUGUUCAAACUAAUCUAAUGUGAGACUGCGAAAGGCUCAGUAAAUCAGUUAUAAUCUAUUUGAUUGUAAACCCCAUUGGAUAACCGUGGGAAAUCUAGAGCUAAUACAUGUGAACAAUUGUGCUUCGGUGCAAUGCAUUUAUUAGACAACAACCAACGCGCGCUGUGUCGGCUGUAGCAAUACAACGGUGCAGUGUGUCCAGGUGAAUCUAGAUAACUUUGCUGAUCGUACGGCCUUGUGCUGACGACGUUUCAAUUGAAUUUCUGCCCUAUCAACUAGUUGGUAAGGUAGUGGCUUACCAAGGUUGCAACGGGUAACGGGGAAUCAGGGUUCGAUUCCGGAGAGGGAGCCUGAGAAACGGCUACCACAUCCAAGGGAGGCAGCAGGCGCGCAAAUUACCCAAUCCAGACACUGGGAGGUGGUGACGAGAAAUACUGGACAGUUUGUGACAAACAUGCUGUACCGGAAUGAAUGUAAUUUAAGGACGUACAUGAGAAACAAUCAGAGGGCAAGUCUGGUGCCAGCAGCCGCGGUAAUUCCAGCUCUGAUAGUGUCGUGUGACGUUGCUGCGGUUAAAACGCACGUAGUUGGAUUACGCAGUGUAAGAACGGUACUCUAUGUGUCCCAGCAUUAAAGCCCCUUGAUUGGCUUUCGCGUCGGAUAACGGGUGUACGAUUACGGUCUGCACUACGCCCGUCGUGUUGGUAGUUUUGGGGUGCUGGAGCAUGUAGAAUCCAGCCGUCUUAUGCUACAUGUAUCGUGAGUGUGAUGUAUUGCCUUGACUGGUCGUACAUCGUGUUUGCGGAGUGUGCCUUGAAUAAAUCAAAGUGCUUAAAGCAGGCGUGUUAGCUUGAAUGUUAAUAGCAUGGAACGAACAAUUGUGAAUGCAUCGGUGUGGUGCGACGUGCAGAUUAUGUCUGUGCGUGUGACUGCAUCGGUGUAGCACCAACCGUCGAAUCGGAUGUUGGUUUCCGACUUGAGGUGAGGAUUAAAACGAGCGGUUGGGGGCAUUAGUAUUUGUCCGCGAGAGGUGAAAUUCUUGGACCGGACAAGGACUGACAAAUGCGAAAGCAUCUGCCUAGACCGUUUCGAUUGAUCAAGUACGAAAGUGAGAGGUUCGAAGACGAUCAGAUACCGUCCUAGUUCUCACUGUAAACGAUGCCAACCCGGGAUCAGUUUUGAGCUAAGUUAAUUACUAUGCUCGUGGUUGGUCCCCCUGGGAAACCUUAAGUUUUUAGGUUCCGGGGGGAGUAUGGUUGCAAGGCUGAAACUUAAAGGAAUUGACGGAAGGGCACCACCAGGGGUGGAGCCUGCGGCUUAAUUUGACUCAACACGGGAAAACUCACCAGGUCCGGACAUCGAAAGGAUUGACAGAUUGAUAGCUCUUUCAUGAUACGGUGUAUGGUGGUGCAUGGCCGUUCUUAGUUCGUGGAGUGAUCUGUCAGGCUUAUCCCGGUAACGGACGAGACCAUUGUCUUCAUUUAGAGCGCCAAAGAAAGGGAUGAAUAAUCUCGAUGGCAACAUUUGGUCGGUCGGCAGGAAUGUAACAGUUUUUGUCGAUUGUGCUAGGUGUUCCCUUUGGUUUGUAGGGCCAUUGGCCUUAUGUUAUGAAGAGACAACCGAGUAUCAUAAAGUCGGGCGAAGCUUUUGGCAAUAACAGGUCUGUGAUGCCCUUAGAUGUCUUGGGCCGCACGCGCGCUACAAUGACAACAACAGCGAGCGUCUAUGUCGAAAGAUACGGGCAAUCUUGUUAAUUGUUGUCGUGAUAGGGAUCGUGCCUUGUAAUUAUUGCACGUGAAAGAGGAAUCUCCAGUAAAUGCAACUCAUCAAGUUGUGUUGAUUAAGUCCCUGCCCUUUGUACACACCGCCCGUCGCUACUACCGAGUGAAUGGUGUCAUGAUGCGUUGUGACCGGACGUUGCCAGCUAUUCGCGUAGAUGGCGAUGCUGGGAUCAACGUAGAAUGGCGCAAUUUCGAGGAAGUAAAAGUCGUAACAAGGUUUUCCGUAGA
rnacentral:rRNA from 1 species